CUUAACAAAAUAAUGUGCCUGAUAAAGAAGUAAACGCGGGCGAGACUCAUUUAAAGGCUUCACGAUGUCAAGUAUAUUCGCAGAAAAAGUAAUAUAUUUAAUGAACCACAUUAAAACGAGGAAUAUAACAGCUAAUACUUCCAGAAGAAGAUCAAAAGUGCAUUCCGGAAGAAAUAAUUUCAUAAACUGUAAGCAAUACUUAUUGAUAUAUAAAUAUUUUAACUAUAGAAUAACAAAUUGAUUUUGUAUAUCUGAAAAAAAAUUAUUUUAAAAAACCCAUGUACACACAAAAUACGUUAAAUUUAAACUAUUUAAAUUAUAUAUUAAGUAUUUGUAUUAUGUGUUACAUAUUUAUUUUAUGUUAUUCAAAAUGUAUUAUUAAACUUUAAAUUGUGUUAGUAAGGAUCUCAGAUAUUGCAAAUUCUUGUAUAUGGAAAUGCAGAAAGUAAAAAUGAUUCUAUCUUUAGGUUGGUUUAGCAUAAUGAAUCUGAUUAAAUAUGCAUUUUCAAUUAUGAAGGAAAAAUAUAUGCGUCCUAAUAUAGUUAUGCUAUGAGAUUUGAGUGAUUUAAAAAUCACUUUACAAUUAUGUUAACAUUUUGGAUUGUUUAUUAGAUAAGAAUGUGUAACAACAUUUAGAGUAUAUCAAAUCGUGUACGCUUGCGAUGCGUGCAUAUGUUUUUUAAAAUAAUUUUUUUUUUAAAUGGACAAAUAAUUCUUAUGUAACAAACUAUGUUAAUUACGCGCGCGAAAACGCCAAGCACGAUUUGUAAUAAUAUGUAAUUUAAUAAGAUACCUGUACUCAAUAUGGCCCACUAUGCUUUGGGUAUUUUUCUAAUUUUGUGAUGUACGAAAUUGAAAAAUAAGGGUCAGAUUAAAAAUAAGUAUUUCUGAAAUCAAAAAAUAUAUAAAAUAUUUUCAAUUAUUUAUACAGUAAAGAUUUAAAAAGAAGGCAUUUGGACUGUGUUGAUUAUAUUUGUACUCAAUAUGGUCUUGUUAUAUAUUUUCCUCUUUUUCACAAGUAUUUUUGAAAAAAUGCGACAUAAAAAAUCAACAUGUUUAAUUAAGCACUUAUUAAUAUACUUAUAAAAAAAAUUACACGUACAACUAUAAAAUAUAAAACUGUGUUUAUUUACUACGAGUCGUAGUAACUUUUACCUGUCAAAAAGCUCCUCCAACUGACUGGAAAGUAGACAAAAAAUACUAAUCAAAAGUUUAACACUAAAUAAAGAAACAGAAUCUUAACUUUUAUAUAAUAAUAAGAUAUAUUGCGUUUUCAAUAAUGUUCCUGGCCAUAAUAGUUUCACCAUGCAAAGAGUUUUCUUUUUUUAAUUAUAAAUAAGAUGUUUCAAUAAAAAUAUAAAAUAAAUAUAGUUUUAAAGAGCACAAAUAACGAGUUACAAUAAUAUGAAUUGCGGAUAUUUAUAAUUGUUACAUGACAAUUAUACAUAUAAAGUAAAAACCUACCUCUGAAAUUUUAGGUAUAGCACAAUUUGAAUAAAGUGUGAUUAUAAGUUAUAAAAAGCAGUUAACUGGCAUAAAUACAUCAUAUGGACUUCCUGAACGAUAUAUUAGCUAUCCGUGAAAUUCGUUCAAAUUAUUUGAAAAUGGGGCACGGGGAGUGAGCCAAAUUGAGUACAUGAUCAUACUGGUAUUUUGUGUAUAUAAUACACAAAUACACAAUUGUGUAUAUUAUACAUUAUUAUGUGUAAAUAUAAAUAUUUAUAUGUAAAAGCCAUAAAAAAUUGUACACUAGUUUUUUAUUAAAUAAAAAAAAUAAAUGUAAUAUAUAGCAAGCAUCAACUUGUAUGAAACUUAAGUGAAUUUAAACAAAAUAUCCGAAGUUUAAUGUAAUAAAUCAGCAGAGGAGAGAAGGCGAGGUAAUCAACUACAUAGAUGUGGGAUUAUGAAAUUCCUGAUAUCUCAUAUAUAUUGUGUUGAUUUCUGGGAAUAACCAAAUUACUUUUUUACAUAAUUCUUAAACUGUUUAGGCGUUAUAACAUGGCCACUAGUCAUUAAUUUUGUUGUUAUGAAAACUGCAUUUCAAUAUUGCAAGUAACCAAAAGUUUUAUAAGUGUCCAAAUCUCAUUUUGAAAAAUAUGUCGAGUAUUAAUUUUUUAAUUUUAACUUGAAAAGCUUAAAUGUGGAUCUCAAAUAAAACAUAAUUGAAUUUAAUGUUUGACGUAAUGUGUGCAUACAUUUAACGUAUAAAGUAGUUAUACUGCCUGCAUUUAGGAUUAUGGACCAUUGCGAGUGUCACAAAUUUGAGUCUCUUCGCACGUAAUACUUUUUACAACAUUUUUACAAUAUUUAGCUAAUAUUGUUUGUUACAAUACUGUUAUAGGACUUCUACAAUACGCAAAGUCAAAAAAGCUAAAGAUUUUCAAAAAUAUAUUUUUUAUUCUUUUAUGUAAUACUAUUAUAUACAAGAUAUUGAUACUGAUGUGCAAAAUCUAUUAAAGAGCGUUAAUUUAUUGUUUUUCAAACAUAAAAAUAAAAAAAUAUUUGUUUAUAAUGUUCCAUAUCCUUUUACAGUUCUAUAACCGCAAUCUUUUUUCUCUCUUCAGUAAAUUUGUUAAUUAUGUUAUGAAUAUCUGAAGAACUUCUGUUUAUAAUAUGAUUGGAACUCUCUGGGUAACAAACAUGUAUUAACAAGAAUUAUGCUACAUAAAUAUUUAGCGAGUUAUUUAAAUAAAACAAAAUGGUGAUUGAUAAUCCCCUCCUCUGUAGAAUCAUAAUAAUGAAAUGACACAAUGUAAAAAAGUAGAAAAAAAUUAUAAUAAAAAAAAUAUAUUAUAAAUUUUAAGUAAAAA
rnacentral:lncRNA from 1 species